rnacentral:rRNA from 1 species
AUUGAACGCUGGCGGCAUGCUUUACACAUGCAAGUCGAACGGCAGCAUGGGUGCUUGCACCUGAUGGCGAGUGGCGAACGGGUGAGUAAUAUAUCGGAACAUGUCCGGAAGUGGGGGAUAACGUAGCGAAAGUUACGCUAAUACCGCAUAUGCCCUGAGGGGGAAAGGAGGGGAUCGAAAGACCUUUCGCUUUCGGAGUGGCCGAUAUCAGAUUAGCUAGUUGGUGAGGUAAAGGCUCACCAAGGCGACGAUCUGUAGCGGGUCUGAGAGGAUGAUCCGCCACACUGGGACUGAGACACGGCCCAGACUCCUACGGGAGGCAGCAGUGGGGAAUUUUGGACAAUGGGGGCAACCCUGAUCCAGCCAUGCCGCGUGAGUGAAGAAGGCCUUCGGGUUGUAAAGCUCUUUCGGACAGAAAGAAAUCGUGCAGUCUAAUACACUGCGUGGAUGACGGUACUGUAAGAAGAAGCACCGGCUAACUACGUGCCAGCAGCCGCGGUAA